AUGGCGGACCCGGAAGAUCACCUGCGGCAGGGCGGGAAGGAAGCAGCAGAAAGCUGCUUGCAGGCAGCGGCCACACAGCGACCCCCGAGCCAGCCUAGGAGCGCCACCGCUACCAAGGACCGGGCCGGACCGGGCCGGGCCAGGCCAGACCCCACAAAGAGGGCUCGCGCACCCCGGGGAGCCACUACCAGGGGCCCACGCAGGAUCGCCCAGUCCCGGAGAGGCUGUCCUCACCUGCUCCCCGCGGGUGACGACGCCGGUGCAGGUUGCCGGGGCGCAGGCCCAGGCCGACACCGCCCCUUUUCACCCCCCCCCCCCCCCCCCACCGCCUCGGCCCGCUUCCCCGCCCCGCCCCUAGCAACCCGCCGCGCUGCCGCCAGCCCUGCCCAAUCGCCCGCCGAUGGCGGCGCUCCUCGCCGAGGCAUCGCCAAUCGAGUCUCCGCGCCAACCCACCCGCCGGCCGCUGCCGUAGGGGCGGGGCCGCUGAGGCGGCCUCCUCCGCCCCGCCCGCCCCGCAGCCCCGUCACCGCGCUCCGCCUCCGGCCCGCGGCCCUUCGCCGGCUCCGCGCUGCGAGGGGGCGCCUGCCGGGCGUGGCAGCUCCGGGCUGGAGGGAGCUGCAGCGGAGGGGGCCCGAGGAGGCGGGUGUGCCCCCCCCCCCCCCCCCGGGGGGCCCCCGGGGGGGGCCCGGGGGGGCGGGGGGGCCCCCCCCCCCCCCCCGGGGGUUCCUCCCCGGUUCCCACUCCCCGCCUCGCCCCGGCCCCAGAGGGGUGCCCUCUCCUGCCCCUCGGGGCGGGAGGCCCCGCCACUCGGCUCGCCGUCGUGCCGACGCGGCCGCCUCCGCGCCAGCCAACGUGCGCGUGUCCGCGCCCGCCCGCGUUAGGCGCGUCCCCUGGGCUGGGCUGCGGAGCGGUUCCGCCGGGACCCCGCGGCCGGGGGCAGGCCAGCACGGCGCCGACGGCAGGCUGGCCGCCCGCGCUCUCCCCGGGGCCCGCUCCGGAAGCCCGGGCGCGCCCGAGCCCCCUCGGCGCCCAAGCCUUCGUGCCCGCCAGCACCAUCGGCGUCCCUGUGGCGACGCAGGCCACUUACUGCGGCUGUCUCGGGAGAGCGCGGAAAAGGCCCGGCCCGGCGGAACGGCCGCGGCGCCUUACGUGCUGCCGCGGCCUCCUCACGGGGGGGCAUCGGCGCGCGAAACCCCGGGCAGACCCGGCGGGGCGGGCACCGCCACGCGCCGGCCGGAGAGCCGCGGGGCGAGCGGGCCCACGCGCCCGCGGGUCAGGGCCGAGCGGCCGCUCCCCCUACCGGCCCCGCCCCCCGGCCCGCCGCCGGGAGGAGGGGCCGGCAGGGGGCGCCGCCGGGAGGAGGGGCCGGCAGGGGGCGCCUCCGCGGCGGCGGCGGGGCCGGGCCGGGGGCGGGGGCGCGGCCCCAUAAAAGGCUCCGCGCACGGCCGGGCCCCGCAUCGCCGUGAGAGCCAGAUCGGCACCGCCCGCAGGUAA
rnacentral:lncRNA from 1 species